UGCUGACUGAGACACAGCGCGUUGCUUGGAGUGAAGCCCUUGUGGAUUGUGUCUACUGAAUCUGGAGUGAAGCCCUUUGUGGAUUAUUUAUGUUGCUGUUGUUGUGUUUGAAAACGGUGUUUGAUUAUCACGAUUUUGAAAACCAGCCAGCAUCAGUCUGAUGCAGACGCAGCACGCAACAUUGUUUUUUGAAUGAGAAAUGGCAGAAGGCAGUGACAGCGCCAGGAGAUUUCAUCAUAAAAAUCAUAAUUUGUGUUCUAAUGAAGAAACAAAGUCACCUACAUCUUGGAUGCCCUGGGGUUAAGCAGAUAAACAUCACAUUUUCAUUUUUGGGUGAACUAUCCCUUUAAGAAUUUUUAAUUUGUAGAAAUGUGAUGAUAAAUGUUCAUCGUAGUUCACAGUCCUGAAAUGUGUGUAUAGUAUUUCUUGUUCUGUAGCAGAUUAUGAGAAAGCCAGACAGAAGGCUAAAAAGACUCAGACAUCCUCUUGUCUCAACUCAGAAAAUGACAGCAUUCUAGGAAAGUUUAUUUGGAAGAGAAAGUGAGUUUCUUUGUUUUCACAUUGUAACUUAUAUAAAACUUUGCACAGAUGUAAGAAGCACCCAUGGUAGGAAUGUAGAGUGUGAAAUUUCAGAUUACAAACACCUACAGUAGCAUUAAUGGUUCACUAUGUAACUUUUUCAAGGAAAAAAAUAGGUAAAGAAAUUUGAGUGAGUACAUCAUGAAUCCAUCUUCCAAACAAUGUUUUUGUCUUAUUCUGAAUCACUACAGUAUGCCUAUAAUAAGUGUUUAUAUUCAGACUAUUUUUGGCUGUGUGACUCUUCAUAGACAUAAACAGAGAGAAGUAGCUCCGCAAGAUGCAUGUGGUUUGUUUAUUAACUGCUAGAGCACCAAAAGUUACACAGUGUACCUUUAAUUGUUAAUUUAAGGAAAACCAGAUUACCUAGGAUUCCGUUUUAGAAUGACCCUUCUGUUUAAAAUGAGUUAACAUUGUCCUUACAUACACUUUUACAAUUCAAAACAGAAGGUAUUUCAGAGAAACUUAUUUAUUUUUAUGUACAACAGACCAAACACACACUACCCUGAUCAGAGCCACUCUUCUGAAGAAGAAGACAAUUAAACGAAGAAAGCGCUCUGUACUGGUUCCUCCAUCCCCACUGUCCCCAUCAUCUCAACAAUCUUCACCAGACCUGCCAGCUCCACCUGCUCCACCAACUUUACCUCAGUCAAGAAGGCAGCCAAUUACACAUAAGCACUGAUUUCAGGUUAUAUAUCAUGAAGUGGGUAUUGUUGUAUAAACAAAAACUGUAAAUGAAUAUUAAUUAAUGAGUACAAUAUAUUUUUGUUACUUUUUUCAAGAUUAUAUAUUUUCUAUGUCUCUGUCUUUUUAUUAAUCUGUCCUUCCCUCUGUCUUCCCUCUGACUCUCUCUCUUCCUCAACAGCAACAGAACGACACAUAAGUCAGCUAAAAAACCUGAACGAAGAGGUUGCUGUCAUCAAGCAGUUAUUAUUGACACUGACAAAACAAAACUCUGUGGCUGCAGACCUGCUGGAGGGUGUCACUUUGACACUAAAAAAAAAAAAAAAAAAAAAAAAAAAAAAGAGUGGAAUUAAUGCAUUUCUUAAUGCAUUAAUGCAUUUUUGUAUUUUUUUUUUUUUUUUUUUAGGAAAUAAACUGAAGGAGGAGGCCUGCUAAAGUGCAAUGGCAAAGUAUCUGGCAGCAGUUGGGGGUACAAGCCCAACCUCCAACACGAGACGUAUCCUGGUCUGCAUACUAACCAUCCCGCUGACCCAGCAACUGUGCUGGAAGGGCUCUGGCCAGAAGAAUCUUUGGGAAGAUGAUGGUACAGUAUGUAAUGUUUAUAUGGGAUAAGCCCUUAUAGCUGAAUGAAAAAAAAAAAAAGAAAUGGGAAGGAAAUCAGUAGUGCCCUAUGAAACUUGUUUGUUGGAGGUCCUCCUGCCCCGUUGACUGCACAGAAAAUAACUGACCUCUUUAAGGUCAUUUAUUCAGAGAGAGGCAGUUCUUGCCGGUCAGCCAGUGGAGAGACUGGCUGAUCGACAUAGAGGGUAUGCACACUUUGUUAAGUACAAUUGAAAAAUGUCAGUCAUAAACAAUGUGUUACAUAGUAAUGAUAAGUUUAGUGGUCCACUUCACAAAUGAACACACUGUCUGGAAGUACUUAAAUCAACAUUGUCAUGAGGGUGUACAUACUGAACAACAAAACAGUUCUCACAAAUUCAUUAAGACAAAGAAAAAAUGAAUUCUUUGGACUAGAGGUGUGAAUCUUGUAUUGCCUCAUGAUUGUAUUCAAUUACGAUUUAGAGGGUACGAUUCGAUUACAAAACAAUUCUUCACAAUUUAUCUUUUACUCCCAUUAUUUUGUUGAAAAUAAUUGCUAUAUUGAUACUUACAAUAUAGCUUUUUGUUAUUGUAUGUUUUUAUUAAUAAUAAACAGUGGCAUAAUUAUAAGAAACAAAUUAAACGAACAGUGCUUACUUUUUACAAUUCAUAUCUAAACAGAAGCAUUCAAGUAACAAAAACAGAAAUUGAUUACAUGUGAAAAUAAUCACUAUUUACUCUAUAGUUGUCACAGUUCCCUUGUCUCCCGGACUCCAUUUCCCAUGAUCCUCCUGUAUCCACACCUGCACUCACUUCCCUCGUCUUCUCCCCAUCAUCACAGAUCACCUGCACCUGGACUUCCUCAUCUGCACUCCCUUUAUAUUGGACUCACUCCCUUCACUCCUUGUCCGUUCUCUGUUGUUGCUAAUGUUAUGUAGUUUAUGUUUGGUGUCUCCUCCGUUGUUCAUUAAAGUGCCUGUUAUUGUG